rnacentral:rRNA from 1 species
CAGCAGCCGCGGUAAUACGUAGGGUCCGAGCGUUGUCCGGAAUUAUUGGGCGUAAAGAGCGUGUAGGCGGCCAUACAGGUCAGCUGUGAAAACUCGAGGCUCAACCUCGAGACGUCGGUUGAAACCGUAUGGCUAGAGUCCGGAAGAGGAGAGUGGAAUUCCCGGUGUAGCGGUGAAAUGCGUAGAGAUCGGGAGGAACAUCAGUGGCGAAGGCGGCCCUCUGGACCAGCACUGACGCUGAGGCACGAAAGCGUGGGGAGCAAACAGGAUUAGAUACCCUGGUAGUCCACGCUGUAAACGAUGAGUGCUAGUUGUCGGCAUGCAUGCAUGUCGGUGACGCAGCUAACGCAUUAAGCACUCCGCCUGGGGAGUACGGUCGCAAGAUUAAAACUCAAAGGAAUUGACGG